CCUACGGGAGGCAGCAGUGGGGAAUAUUGCACAAUGGGCGAAAGCCUGAUGCAGCAACGCCGCGUGAAGGAAGACGGUUUUCGGAUUGUAAACUUCUAUCAAUAGGGAAGAAAGAAAUGACGGUACCUAAAUAAGAAGCCCCGGCUAACUACGUGCCAGCAGCCGCGGUAAUACGUAGGGGGCAAGCGUUAUCCGGAAUUACUGGGUGUAAAGGGAGAGUAGGCGGCAAGGUAAGCGAUAUGUGAAAGCCUUAAGCUUAACUUAAGGAUUGCAUAACGAACUAUCUAGCUAGAGUACAGGAGAGGAAAGCGGAAUUCCUAGUGUAGCGGUGAAAUGCGUAGAUAUUAGGAAGAACACCAGUGGCGAAGGCGGCUUUCUGGACUGAAACUGACGCUGAGGCUCGAAAGCGUGGGGAGCGAACAGGAUUAGAUA
rnacentral:rRNA from 1 species